rnacentral:rRNA from 1 species
CACGUAGGCACCAAGCGUUGUCCGGAUUUAUUGGGCGUAAAGAGCUCGUAGGCGGUUCGGUAAGUCGGGUGUGAAAACUUUGGGCUCAACCCAAAGCGUGCACUCGAUACUGCCAUGACUAGAGUUCGGUAGGGGAGUGGGGAAUUCCUAGUGUAGCGGUGAAAUGCGCAGAUAUUAGGAGGAACACCGGUGGCGAAGGCGCCACUCUGGGCCGAAACUGACGCUGAGGAGCGAAAGCGUGGGGAGCAAACAGG